GGGUAGAGUUGGCAACUACAGCUGUGCCGCACCUUUUUCUGCCUUUAGCUUGUGCUACCAAUGUGGCCAAGAAUGUUGGUGCUGUCACAUCAACCUCGACUCGCACUCCAAUAUACGAAGCCUUUGCCAAAGGUGAAAACAUUGGGGAUGUUACUGCGAAGGGAGAAUGUGUUGGCAAUGUUGCCGAUCUGGGAGACAUCCUGGAAGAUCCAGCAAAGGAGCCAAACAAGGAUAUGUACAUGAUGACUAUAGAG